AAAAAAAAAAAUUGUUAGACAACGUCUCUAAGAUCGGCUCCCGGCAAACGCACCAUUUAUGUGAGCUAAAUUCCUCCACCCUUAAUUGCGUUUAGUAGUCAAGUGGAUUAACUUCACUCACAUGCAAUUUUUAUAAACCCUAAAUUCAUUCAUAAACCCUAAGUUCAUCCAUAAAUCCUAAGUUCAUCCAUAAACCCUAAGUUCAUCCAAAAACCCUAAGUUUAUCCAGAAACCCUAAGUUCAUCCAUAAACCCUAAGUUCAUCCAUAAACCCUAAGUUCAUUCAUCCUAAAUUUCCCUUCAUCAAUCAUCCAUCUUUUAAAUCUCAUUCAUUCAUUCAAAGUUUAUUCAUCCAAUUUUCAUCUAAAGAUUCAUUCAUCCAACCAUAAGUCAACUUAUCAUCCAACUGACAAUUCGUGCAAUUGACCUAAUUCAUCCAAGAUUCAUCCUAAAAAUUAAAGAAAAUUGGAAGUCGCCACCUUCUAAGUCAUGGUAGCAACCCCCUUGCACGAAUUCUACUACAAUGGUUGCAUCACUAACUUGUUUAUAACAAAAUUUGCUAUUUUAGAAAGUAGACUUACAAGCGCUUGUCCUCCAACAAAAUUCAAUGCAAAACAACAAUUAAGCUAAGAGAAAUCUUGCCUCAAAGUUGCCUGACUUUCUCGGCCUAGUCAGAGCACCUCUGGCCACACAAACCCUUGCCCUUGCUCCAUUCCAGUUGUGCAAUGCAUAUGCUUUAGCAUUCCAAAAACUAGAAUUGAAUCCGCAUCACCUUCAACAAUUUUUUCUUGAAAAUCUUGAGUGAAUUCCAAGAUAUGAUCUUCCAAAGUAGCUUGAGUUGGCGGAGUGCUACAGCUUCACCACGGCCGACUCCUCUUCACUCCAACCACCAUAACUUCCUUGGCCUUUACUCAAUCUAAGCGUGCAAAUAGUCCUUGCAAAGCUGACAACAAGAACCAUCUCCCACAAAAGUUUCAGCUCCAAAUUCAAUACUGUCCGCCAACACUCGCCUUCCAAAGUCGGACCUCCAGAUCUGGCCGGCAGCUGACCUCCUUGUCACUAAAACCACCACAACUUUCUUGUUUUCUCUCCAAACAAAGCGUGCCUACUGUCCCGAGGAAGCUAACAACAAGAUCUAACUAUUGGUAAAGUUUGACGUUCUAUUUCCAGAUAACUAAUAUACUACAGCUGCGCAAUUGCAGCUCUAUAGAAACAAGGGUACGUGGGGAUGCAAUUUGGCAUGGCUUCGCCCCCCCCCC
rnacentral:lncRNA from 1 species